UACGUAGGGUGCAGGCGUUAAUCGGAAUUACUGGGCGUAAAGCGUACGCAGGCGGUUUGCUAAGACAGGUGUGAAAUCCCCGGGCUUAACCUGGGAACUGCGUCCGAUACUGGAUGGCUAGAGUGUGGGAGAGGGAUGCGGAAUUCCAGGUGUAGCGGUGAAAUGCGUAGAUAUCUGGAGGAACACCGGUGGCGAAGGCGGCAUCCUGGACCACG
rnacentral:rRNA from 1 species